UCUCUCUGCUGUGAUUUGGUUUUAUUCGAAUUUGGAGCUACCGUGCGUCUAUGAUUGGGAUUAGAUAUAUGUCUCUGUAUACACACACACACACACACACACACACAUAUUCAUAUGAACAUGUUUCAACUUGAUCUUUGUUGAUAUUAAGUAUUCUGAUAUUUCUGAUAUUGACGAUCUUGAUAUUUCUUAUAGUAUUCUGAUAAACUCAAUAAAAACAAAAGACGAUAAAAAAGCUGAAGCAAAAUAUUUUGUGAUUUUGGAAUUCCGAUUCGAAGUAGAAUUUCCAAAAGUCGCUUAGUGAGGUUCAUUUUUCGUUGUACUGGAUAGAAAGAGCUCUUUCACAUCCACUUGAGCAUCGUGUCAUGACUUUCGAAUGAGUAAUGCUAUGGAGAUUCACUUCUACAAUGAAAAGCUCUGUGGGACCUACCGUGAUGUGUGUGUGACAUCCACUCCGUCCAUUUUUGUGCUGGGUAAGUUUAGGACAUGGUCCUGAAACUCAGGUCAAUAGGCCCACCAUGAUGUUUAUAUUCCAUCCAACCUGUUCAUGAAGCAAGUACAACUAGGAUAAAGGGGAAAACCAGAUACAGGUUCAUCCAAAACUUUGGUGGGCCUCGGAAGGCUUUAAUGGUGUGCGUCUCCAUUCUCAAUGUUCCAUGUGGCGUGUCCCACUUGGGUUUUGGUUCAGGCUGAUAUUUUUGGAUCACUUCCUAACACGACCUGUCAGAAAUGAUGGACAGCAUGGAUCACACACACAAACACACACACACACACACACAAAACAGCAGGCUCAAUGGAACUUUUUGUUUCAUGCCCUGUAAUUUUGGAGGACACGUGUCGUACAUACAUGGCUAAUUGCGUGGGCGAAUCUACAUAGCAUUGCUCUUUUUGAAAAUUCUGAUUCUAUAAGAGUAGGAAUAUAAAAAAUCACAAGUCAUAUUUCUUGCAGCCUGAGCCAAACACAGCUUCAUUUGAGAUGAGAAUUCCCAUGAACAUAUCCUGCAUUCAAGAACCCAUAUGACUAAGAACUCAUGGCAUAUCAUUGUAUCCUUGUUUUUUGGUGAGUCUAUGUUUUGAUUGGUCUUGGAUUUCUAUUUUUAUUUCAUAUUGUAAGUUGUAACCAUGUAAAUGUAUGAUUAUGGAUGUACCAAUGUUGAAAUAUCACAUAUUGGAAGUGUUUUCUUUUACUUAUACAGAGUACAUGAUUUGUGAACUGCUAUUGCGGGCAAAUAAGCAGUUUGAAAUAGUUAAAGUUAUGUCAUCUACUAGUCACUUGAAGACUAAAGUCCCACUUUCCUCAUAAUCUUAGCAGUGCUAAUUUGUGCUGGUUGUUUGUGUGCGCCCAGCCGAAAUAUCAGGUCAUAGCUGAAUAUGGCAAAAUCUUCUUAUUUCAAGGAAUUUACUACCUUUAUUACAUUGAAAAUGCACCUUGUGGUUGAUAAAAAUUGCUGAUGGAAAGAUGCUAUUAUCACUAGCAGCAUCCUUUACACCCAGCCAAUAGAAACCUACACAAAAAAAAUUUCAUAUACUUUGGGAUUUGCUACAACAUCAGUACUAAAUGCCCUUCUUAUCUCUCUACCAAUACUAUUGAUGACACAUGUGAUUCAUGCAAGAAGAGGGACAAGUGGACCAUCCAUGCAUAUGAAAAAUUGGACAGUUACAUGCAGCCCUCUUGAUGAAUGUACCUGUGUGAUGCCAUGGCACACGGAUGGUGAGAACGUACAAACUUGAUUUUCAUUCCAUGGCAUGUGCAUGGCAGGGCCCAACUCAUGGUCAGGCUCGAUUCUGCACAUAUUUGCCACAUUGGCAUGUGUUGAAGGGUAGGAUUUGAAAUACUAUGUUUGAGAGUAUUCAUGAGAGGAAGAGGAGGGGAGGAGUAUGUUAAUUGUUUUUGAAUUAUGUUUGAAGAACAUGGUCAAACUUUUGCUUCCAAAUAUUGCCCAUGUGAAAACUAGUCAUGGCUCAUGACAAGAGGUGGUAACUAAGGUGUUCACAAACUCGGGUGGGAUUUCUUCUCCUCGUGGCCUUGUCUGGGAUAAGGGGGUUCCCUUAAGCAUGGUAGCGAUUUGUUGGACUGAUGAUGGGUGACAAAAUUCUUACUUUGGAUCACCUAAACCGUCAUCUCCUCAAUAUAUGCUUUGUAUGUAAGGAAGCAGAGGAGUCGAUGAACCAUCUUUUCAUCACAUGAGGCUGCAUGUGAGAUUUGUUGUGAUUUUGGCAGCUGCUUUGAAUUGCUUGGACCUUCAAAGGUUGAUUGAGGAGAUUUUCAAAGGUUGGAAGUGUGGGACCUUUAAGAAAAUAAAUAAUAUUUUAUGGCAUUUACUCUAUGUUGGUGUUGGUGUGGGGUAUGUGGGAAAGGAAGGGACAAACCCAUUUUUUUUAAAAAUAUAAUGAUAAAUGUUUGUCAGUGAAUGUAGAAGGAAUCUCCAAGACUGGGAGAUUGAGGACUAUGUGAAUCUGCUUAGUCGCGUGUACGAAUCUUGUCCAAAUCAAUUUAAAGAUGACAGGAUCAUCUGGAGAUUGGAAAAAUCCCUUCGGUUCAUAGUCAAAUAUCUAUAUAAGAUGCUUCUUUUCAACCACAACUCUUCAAGCGAUCAUAUCUCUCACCAUGUUUGGUACUACUCGGCUCCCCUGAAAGCCUUGGUUUUUGGAUGGCUGAUUGGGAAAAGAAAAAUUCUUACAGUGGAUAAUUUGAGGAAAAGGGGGAUGGUUUUAACAAAUGUUUGUCUCUGCUGUAUGGGGGAAGCAGAAUCGGUUGAUCAUCUCCUGAUCCAUUGCCCUUUUAUAGCUACUAUUUGGGCAGAUUUUUUGGUGCGCUUUAGAAUUAGUUGGUGUUUUGCAGGCUCGACGGACCUUCUUCUAAAAGCCCGGCACGGGAUCAGAAUAGGAAAGAGAGAGAAACAAGGUUAUGGAGGAUGGCUAUUCUUGCUAUUGGUGGUCCGUAUGGGAAGAAAGAAAUAGUAGAUGCUUUAAGAAUACGUCUAAUCCCGCUGAUGUGGUGACCGUCAAAGCUAAACGAUUGUUGAUUGAAUGGGCCACUCAAGUAGACGCUUUUAAGGAUUUUGAUUUUCUUUUCCUUGAGGUGUAGUUGUUUUUGCUUUCUCAGCAGUCUCUCACUUCCUCUUUCGUAUCUUUUGUUCCUUUUUAAUAUAAAUUGUUAUCUUUCAAAAAAAAAAAAAAAAUGUUUGUCACUGAAUGAGAUGCCUAGUAGGGUUAGAGGUUCUCCUAGUUGAAAGCCGACAAAGCUGGAAAGAGGCAUUCUGUUUUGUAAUUCAUUUUUUGGUAGUUCGCGGGUAAGGGUCUUGCCAAACCCUAGAUUUAUAUAUUCCUAAAAUUAAGAAAGGUACUCAUAUUGGAUCGGCCUUGGCGUUUAAGGAAUUUAUAGGUAUCUGUGAUUUGGUCUAACAGUGUUUCAUCUUUAGUCAAGGAGUGGUGGAUGGUUCUCCCAGCCGCAUGCAACAGUAAACAGAAUCCAGUUUGGAUUGGUAGGGGUGCUUAGAGAGAAUGAGGGUAGUAUCAUAUUUUUUUUCCCUGUUCCGGCGAGGAUCGUGGAGCCUUGGGUGGAUGGUGAAAGUUCAGGGAUUCUGUUAGCAUUAUCCUAUAGUCAUUAUCACUGUCAGGAGUAGAAUGUAAUUUUUUGCCGAAACCUGAAAGACAGUUCGAGGACUAUCAGCAUUUGCACCAGAAUCUCAAUCCAGUGAUUCUGAAACCGCCAGAAGAAAAUGUGAGGUGGAAAAGGAACCCUUCAGGUAAGUUCACUCUUGCGUCUUUUUCUUUUUCUUUUUUGACAAAGCAACAGCCUUGGAUGGCUCCUUUCCUCCUCUUUUUCUGGCAACCAGAAUUCCCCCUAGAGUGGCAGCAUUUACAUGGACAGCUGUUAAAGAUAAAAUCGUCACAGUGAAUAAUCUCUAGAGGAUUCCAGUGGCUGAACAGAUCUGUUAUGUGUAAAAGAAACGAGGGGUCUGUUCAUCAUUUGUUCCUGCAGUGCGAAGUUGCUGCAGCAUUAUGGAGCCAACUCUUUCAAUUGUUUGGUAUCGAGCAGAUCAUGUGAUCAAGCCUUUGGGAGAUGUUUCUUAGAUGGGAUAGUGGGCAUUUGUGCCCAUGGAGAUGCUUAUGUGGCGUCUCCUUCCCUCAGCAAUGUGUUGGGAGUUACGGAAAGAAAAAAAAGGCGCAUAUUCCAAGAUGAGCAGAAUCAGGAAGCAAGGCUGUUUGAUAACAUCAUUCCAGGACGAUCCAAUGGGCCUCUAUCUCCUCCAGCUGCAAAUUAAAUCCGGCAGAGAAUCCACACUAUAUUUGGAAAUUUUAGCCCCAUUUAUUUAUUCUAGAAGUUAAGAGUUUGUUCUGCUGUCUCUCAGUUAAACAGUUCGUUUAAUCUGGAGUAGAGGGGCCAGCAUUUUUUCAUUUUUUCAGUGUUGUUUUUUGGCCUUUUGGCUUGGAUUCUCCUUUAAUGAAUUUUCGUUAUUACUUAAAAUAAAAAAGUCCGGGCACUCUGGGAGGAUUUUUGUCUCUUUUCUGACUCUAUGGUCUCAUUAUGGAAGGUUUAAGCAGUGGACCAGAUGUUUGGUUGGAUCUCCUUGGGUUAAUCCUAAACCCUGGUGACUUGAAUUAUUGCUUCGUGAGAUUAGAGGUUUCUAUUCAACGUUAAACAUUUCGUUUUCCUUGGUGGGCAUAGAAGCAGAUGUAGUAGCCAUAUGGACCUUGCUAUAGAGGAGGUGCACAGCAUUCUGGGUUAUUGUUGGGGGUUUAGGCCUUCCAUAAAGAUCAUUGCUCCAUUGGUAAAGUUCUUGUUACUCAUCAAAUAAGGGGGUGUGGGUGGUGGAAGGUAACCAACUAUGGGCAAAUUUAGAAACAGUUGAAACCCCACCCAUGCCACUAUAAAAGUGAAAAUGACUAUGAUUCUAUCCGAUGGUGAUAGAUGGAGUCAGCCUUGGAGUCUUGGGUUGGUAUGCAGUGGUUGGGAACUUUCUUCUUAGAAGUUGGUCACAGGAGAAACAUAAAAAGUACUGCUUUGACAUAUGAUGGGGGGUGGUUUACUUGUUGUGACAAUGUAUGCUUUAUAUAUGGGAGUGCUAUGGAUGACCAUCUUAGUUCUUUAUACUCUUUACAUUUUCUUUUCCACAUUCACUGCAAGUAGAAAUGGAUGGAUCUUUUGUCAUACAUGUAAAAACAAGCAUUGUGGGAAUAUAUCCAAUUUCAUGCAUGAGCAUGAACGUGUUUAAGAGCAGAAGAAAUUGAAUAUUCACUUAAAGAUCCCCUCCAAACGCAAUGUUGUUGAAAUUUAUGGUCUUAAAGACAUGAUUUUUUUCGUCUGUUUUUUUAACCCCUUUUCUUUUAUUCUUCUGUUGCAAAGGACUAAGAAUGCUUGCUAUCUGAACCCUCACUAGUAGGAACAGGAAUUGCCUACUUAUAUCAGAUUAAUUGUUUAGGAACUGGUCUCUACUGAUUCUCUUGAUUUUCAUUGAUGAAAAUUCCCUUCCUGUGCUGCUACCUUAUUGUUGGAUGAUUCAGCUGUUACCACUCGUCUCUUAUAAAGGCUCCAAAUUGAUUAAACACUAUGAAGUGCAUUAAACAUCAGUAACAAACACCAGUUCCGCUUGUUAACUUACAAAGUGUUGUUUGUUUUUUCUGGUCUAGUAUUUACCUUUUAGCUCCGUGUUUUUCUGCACUCCUAUUUUCUUACCUCUUCGACUUCAUUAUGCGGUAUAUAGCUUAUCAGCACUGUUAUUUGUUAUGUCUGUAAUCUGUGCUAGGGUAAAAUUGUUUUUUGUUUUUGACAUGGUUGCAGGUAAUACUUAAAAACGACAAACAUUUUCAUGGGAAGAAGAAAAAUACAGGGUAAUCUGUCAAUAGGAACUCAUAUGGGUUUAGAACAAGAUACUGCACAAUGUGACAAAGCAGCGGAUAUAGAGCCUUGUGCAAUUGAGGCUGAUGAAACGGCAGAAAUUCAAUCAUGAAUGAGUCAAUUGCAUCUGGAGAGCCAAUCAAUUCAGAACCUUAUGUGGGCAUGCAGUUUGAAUCUGAUAGGGCUGCAGAGACAUGCUAUAACAAUUACGCUAAGCAUGUAGGCUUUAGUGUCUGUAUAGGUCGUCAAGAACGUUCAAAACGUGAUAAAGAAAUUAUUUCUAGGCUAUAUUUAUGUUCUAGAGAGGGCUUACAUGAUAAGAAAUACACAAAUAGAAAGGAUAGAAUUAGGCCAGAGCGGACACCUACAAGGGUAGGGUGCAAGGCAAUGAUUAUGGUGAAGAAAAGACCCCCUAAUAAAUGGGUUGUUACAAGAUUUGAGAAGACACACACUCAUGAACUGGUGAGUCCAGAUAAAGCCUCUACCCUUCGAUCACAGCGGCAUGUAUCAAAUACUACAAAAAGUAGCAGUGAUUCGCUCUGGCAUGGACGUGCAAGAUUGUCUAAUAAAACCCUAGAUGAUCAGUACUACAAGGAAGGUGGUGCAGACUUUGAAAUGAGUUACUUGAAACCAAUUUUGAAAACACAGUUGCCUAUGGAAGAACAAAUGGCAGAAAUAUACACGACUACAAUGUUCCUUAAAUUUCAAGAGGAACUAUGUGCAAGUCUUCGUUAUAUUGCAAUUAAAAAUAAGGAUGACGGAAAUCUCAACACAUAUAGGGUGACAAGAUUUGGUGAAGAGAACAAGUCGCACACUGUUGUUCUCAAUGUAUCUGAAAUGAGAGCAAGUUGUACAUGCCUUAUGUUUGAAUUUGUACGCAUUCUUUGUAGACAUGCUUUAUUAGUUCUCAGAUUGACUAAUGUUUUGACACUCCCAUCUCAUUACAUUGUUGAACGGUACAAAAGAAAUGUGAUAAGUGGGGUCGUAAAUGAUCGACACGGCAUUACGAUGGAAGCUGAUUUUCGAGAAUCUCUGACCUUAAGGUACAAUGAUUUAUAUCAUCGAGCUGUUAAGUAUGCAGAGGAAGGGUCUGCUUCUUUAGAUGUUUACAGUGUGGCAGUCCGUGCUCUGCAAAGGUCUCUGAAUGAAGUUAUUGCUGCUAAAAAUAACACCACAGCAUAUGCACAACUCCACGGUCCUUUCAAUGAAAAUAUUCCGGAGGACAAUCUCAACAGACGAAGUCAAACGAAUCACUCCACUGAACAGAUAACUUUGUUUGAUCCUCAACGCAGAAUCUCCAAAGGGUAUCCAGCUAACUCGAGGAUGGAACUUAGCUUAGAAAAGUGGCCUGGGAAUACGGGAACAUGCACGGUUUGGGGUGUGCAUGGCCACGACGGAUGUACUUGCUCUGCAUUGGUGGGUGUAGGGGGAAGUUCCAACACUGUUCUUCAAGGUGCAUGCUUCAAUAUGCAUGACCCUCCUGGUGCCGUGGAGUUUUGGAGUACGCGAUGGCCUGAGAGCGGCAGUCAUCCAAACAUUCAUAGAUUUACAUAGUUACAGCUCUGGUUAUCGUUUGAGGAACCUCCCUCUUAUUGUAGCAAUUUUGGAAACAUACAAACUGGCUAAUCCUGGCAUGUUUCAGUGGUACAGUUUACACUCUCAGAUGUACAGUUCCCUUCAAUGUAGGAUUGGCUCGGGCGCUACUGAAACCAAGGCUUAGAUUACCAGCCGAUACUCCUCUGAAGUUCAUUUUCUUCACCUCCAUAGGUGGUGGGGACCAAGGGACAGCAGUCUGUGGGUCUUUGGAUGCUUCCUGCACGAAUUCACACCAGUCUCUGUGAAUAUCUGACAGUGCCCGGUGAGUUUUUUGGCCAGGGAUGUCCACUCUGAAACAGAUCUUCUGAUUUUGUCGAUUAGAGAGCCCAUACUCGCCUCUUCAUCUCUGAAAAUCUCUUCAUUUCUUUAUUUCCAAAUCUCCCAACACUGCAAAUGAGACGCGGUUCCACAAGGCUCUAUUUUUCCGAAUAAGGCCGCUACACCAGCUGGUGAUGUCUUCACCCACCGAUUGUCUCAUGACCCAGGAAACCUGAAACAUCAAGAAGUGGCUCCACAAGGAUGAUGCCUCUGAACAAUGAAGGAAAAGAUGAUUUCCAUUUCCUUACUGGCUAGCCCAAGCUCGAUCCACGUCCGAAAAAUAAUCCGGAGCGUUGCCCAUUCCUAGUGCAUGUGACAAUUUAUGUGCCCGCAACCAGUCUGGCCUGGCCCAUGAUCACUUUCAAAUGCUAAAUGUGUAAAAAUAAAAUAGGGACACGAAACUCAAAUGGGACUGAAGAUAUUUUAGUCCAAGUUAAAUAAAAAAACUGCCAUUCUGAUUCAAAUCAUCAUGCAUCUUAUGUAACCCAUGUACAUCUCACAUGACACAUGUACAUUAGUACAUAACCUAAAAGGUCAAAAUCUCGUUUCGAGAGACUCAGGUGAGCUUCCAGCAAGCUCUAUGCCUCUCUUCGACACGUUUAUUUUGACUGAACCAUUGGCAUGAGCCCACAUAUGAGCCCCAUCAUUGAUAUAUAAUUAGAUAAUUUGUAAUAUAUACAUAAUAUAUAUGUAUAUAAUAUGUAAUAUAAACAUAUAUAGUGUGUAUGAGAGAUAUAUGGGCACGGGCCAGAUUGAGUUGGGUGGGGAAGCCCAAGCUUGGCCUAGAACUAUUUGGGCUUUCAUCGAAGCCUAAAAGAUAUGUCCAAACCUGACUCAAACACUCAUCCAGCCCAAAAGCCCGUGGGCCAGCUCAGCCUGUGGACAGCCCUAGUCAAAUCUUAGAGCUUUGCUAAGCCUACACACGUGUGCAAAACAGCUCCUGUACAUGCUUGUGCCAACAUGGCACGUAGGUCCGAGAUCUAAUCCAUUCAUCAGAACUUGAGAAGGGCACCGAUAUAUUGAUGUCAUUGCCCAAGAAUCAGUUUGAUCCACUGGCUAGGUGGGCCACAGUUAGCAAAACAAAUGAAUGAUUGUGAGACAGUUGGCAGAAGUUUUCCGACCCAUCAGCCUGUUUCCCAUAUUGGGGCCCACCUGCUGAGUGCACUAUAGUUAUUUUUGGGAAAACUUCUACAAGGUCAGACCAACCUUAUGGAUGGAUUGGAUCAUGGACCUACGUGCCAUGCAGGCACAUGUGUAGUGUGUGCAUGAGUUGUAUUGCACGUGUGUGGGCUUAAGGUAAUUUGUAAUGGUAAUGGUAGCCUUAAUGGCUACCAUUAUUACCUUUAUGAUAUAGUGAUGCAGGACAAUUAACCACUUGCUCUAAAAGCUCGAACCGUUAGAGUACGGUGAAUUAAUCCCUUUAUCUCAUUGCCUAGGCCCUACAUCUCAUGGGUUAGGACCUCGGCCGAACCCCCCUCGUGGGCCCCAAGUCACAUGGGUACCGCUUCACACGAGUCACCCGAGUCACACGGGUGGGGCCCGCGUCUCACGAGCCACUCGCCUCACACGGGUUACCCACUCCUACUGUGUCCCUGAGUCUCAUAGGCCACCCUACUCGAGCUUGGUGUGAAAAUGCCCCCACAUUAUAUAGGCCGUAACAGACAUUACGGUCUCUCUCUCUCUAUUUUGAAAAAAAAAUCCAAAAAAUUUGUAUCUGCCCCAUAAUGGACCAUUAUAGGGCUAUAAUGGUAUUUACGGGGACGGUU